CGAGAGAGAGCUUGCUUUCUCGAGCGAGUGGCCAACGGGUGAGUAACGCGUGAGGUACCUGCCUCAAAGACGGCGACAACAGUUGGAAACGACUGCUAAUACCGCAUAAGCCCACGGGUCGGCAUCGACCAGAGGGAAAAGGAGCAAUCCGCUUUGAGAUGGCCUCGCGUCCGAUUAUCUAGUUGGUGAGGUAACGGCCCACCAAGGCAACGAUCGGUAGCCGGACUGAGAGGUUGAACGGCCACAUUGGGACUGAGACACGGCCCAGACUCCUACGGGAGGCAGCAGUGGGGAAUAUUGCACAAUGGGGGAAACCCUGAUGCAGCGACGCCGCGUGGAGGAAGAAGGUCUUCGGAUUGUAAACUCCUGUCGUUGGGGAAGAUAAUGACGGUACCCAACAAGGAAGUGACGGCUAACUACGUGCCAGCAGCCGCGGUAAAACGUAGGUCACAAGCGUUGUCCGGAAUUACUGGGUGUAAAGGGAGCGCAGGCGGGAAGACAAGUUGGAAGUGAAAUCUAUGGGCUCAACCCAUAAACUGCUUUCAAAACUGUUUUUCUUGAGUAGUGCAGAGGUAGGCGGAAUUCCCGGUGUAGCGGUGGAAUGCGUAGAUAUCGGGAGGAACACCAGUGGCGAAGGCGGCCUACUGGGCACCAACUGACGCUGAGGCUUGAAAGUGUGGGUAGCAAACAAAAUAGAUCCCCUGGUAGUCCACACCGUAAACGAUGAUUAUUAGGUGUUGGAGGGAUUGACCCCUUCAGUGCCGCAGAUAACACAAUAAGUAAUCCACCUGGGGAGUACGACCGCAAGGUUGAAACUCAAAGGAAUUGACGGGGGCCCGCACAAGCAGUGGAGUAUGUGGUUUAAUUCGACGCAACGCGAAGAACCUUACCAAGUCUUGACAUCCCUUGACAGGCAUAGAAAUAUGUUUUCUCUUCGGAGCAAGGAGACAGGUGGUGCAUGGUUGUCGUCAGCUCGUGUCGUGAGAUGUUGGGUUAAGUCCCGCAACGAGCGCAACCCUUAUGGUCAGUUACUACGCAAGAGGACUCUGGCCAGACUGCCGUUGACAAAACGGAGGAAGGUGGGGAUGACGUCAAAUCAUCAUGCCCUUUAUGACUUGGGCUACACACGUACUACAAUGGCGUUAAACAAAGAGAAGCAAGACCGCGAGGUGGAGCAAAACUCAGAAACAACGUCCCAGUUCGGACUGCAGGCUGCAACUCGCCUGCACGAAGUCGGAAUCGCUAGUAAUCGUGGAUCAGCAUGCCACGGUGAAUACGUUCCCGGGCUCUUGCACA
rnacentral:rRNA from 1 species